rnacentral:lncRNA from 1 species
CAUCCUAUAGACAGAAGUGUCGGGAGAGCUUGUGAUACUCUCCCUUGAAAUGUGACGACUUCCACCCUAUAGACAGAAGUGUCGGGAGAGCUUGUCAUACUCCCCCCCGAAAUGUGACGACUUCCAUCCUAUGGACAGAAGUGUCGGGAGAGCUUCUGAUACUCCCCCUCGAAAUGUGACGACUUCCAUCCCAUGGACAGAAGUGUCGGGAGAGCUUGUGAUACUCUCCCUCGAAAUGUGACGACUUCCAUCCCAUGGACAGAAGUGUCGGGAGAGUUCGUGAUAAUUCUCCCUCGAAUUUUGACAACUUCUGGUCAAAGUGACAGAAGUGUCGGGAGAGUUUGUGAUACUCCCCCUCGAAAACUUGCGCUUGGGGCAAUUUUAGUGUUAUUUUACCCGGAAUCGGCGACUGGAGUUUGUGACACUCUUGGAAGUCGGCGAUAUCCGUGGUAUUUUUUAUUUUUUACCCUUGUGAGUCGGCGACUCCCUCUGUGAGUCGGCGACUCCUAGUGUAACCGUCGGAUCUUUCCGGAAGAUACUUGGAAUAUUUUGGAGAUAUAUGGGGAAUAUAUGCAAAAUCUCCAAAGCGACAAGAUGGGAUGAGAUCAUUAAGGCCAAAGCGACAAAAUGAUCUCCAAGUCUAUCAAGGCCAAAGCGACAAGAUAGAAGAAUUAUUAAGGCCAAAGCGACAAAAUAAUUCUUGGUCCAUUAAGGCCAAAGCGACAAAAUGGACCUUGAUCUAUUAAGGCCAAAGCGACAAAAUAGAUUUCUAAUGCAGGGUACUAGUUAGAGUCGUAGGUAGUGAUUUCGAAAGAGUGUUACAAAAAUAAAAUCUAACUAUUCUAUUUUGUAACUUGUACUAGCAUAGGGACUACAAUUUAGGACUACAAUUCUAGACUUGAACCCUGGUGUAUUAGUCAAGCUCCGGCCAUAGCGACAGAGUGACUCUCGAUCCUUAUCAAGGCCAUAGCGACAAGAUGGGAUAGGAUCAUUGAAGCCAAGGCGACAAAAUGAUCCUUGGUCUAUUAAGGCCAUAGCGACAAAAUAG